rnacentral:lncRNA from 1 species
GCCGCGCCAGCCUGUCCCCACCUGCCCGGGGCUCCCCGUCCAGAUGAGCCGGCCCCGGGUUUUAGCAGAAAGGACGAGAUAAGGAAAGACGAGACAAAAGGGAAACAAACUAGCAAAACACCGAGGGAGGAACCGAGAGAAAUGAGCAGCCAAAUCGGAAAGCCGCGGGAGAGCAGUUGGUUCUCUCUCUCCCCCUCCCUCUCCCUCUCCCUCUCUCUCUCGUUUUUGUUUCUUUGUUUUUCUUUUUGUUUCCACUCCGUCCUUGAGUCCUCGAUCUCAGAAGGCAAAUGGUGUUGAUCGUUUUGCAAGGUAGGAACCGAGGCUCUCGGAGGAGGUCACCUGCUGAUGGUUGCGGCCCUUGAAUGCGAUCCCCGCCCCCAGGACCCGGGGGCGGGAGGGAGGAGAGGUAUCCGGUGGCUCUCCUAAGCCACAAGCCCAGGAGUGGGGAUGGCGCUGCAGUCCGCUGGAGAUGCCAUUCUGUGACCCCAGACUCCGCACCAGGCUGAGGCCCAGUGGUGGCAGACGCCCAGCAACAAAACCGACUGGGGGAGGCGCCCUCAUGCUGCUGGCGGGAAAGGGAAAUGGUAAAGCCACCGUGGAAAAGUCUAACGGACCUCGGACAAUUACACCUAGAAGCACCCGACCUGCACACCCACUGCUAGGUAUAUGCCCAAGGAACCGAAAGUGUAUGACCGCGCAAAAGCGGAUAUGUUCCCCGAUCUUUAUAGCAACAUUAUUGCUAAUAGCUAAGGAGUGGGGCUGGGCACGGUGGCGCACACCUGUAAUCCCAGCAGCUCCGGAGGCUGAGACAGGAGGAGUUCAAAGCCAGCCUCAGCAAAAGCGAGGCCAUAAGUAACUCAAUGAGCCCUGUCUCUAAAUAAAAUACAACAUAGGGCUGGAGAUGUGGCUCAGUGGUUGAGUGCCCCUGAGUUCAGUUCCCUCCCCGGUACACACAAAAAAGAAAAACAUUAGCUAAGGGUAGAGUACAGGGCUGGAGCUGUAACUCAGAGGUGCAAGGCCCAGGGUCAACCCGGAUGUUCAUCAGGUAAUGAAUGGAUAAACAAAUGAUUGUGUAUCUGUGCAACAGAAAAUUAUUUGAUAAUAAAAAGGAAUGAGGACUGUCUCAAAAUUUUAAAAAGGUUAGGGUUACUCAGUGGCAAAACACAGUGGCCACUGGGUUCAUUCCCC